rnacentral:rRNA from 1 species
CAGCAGCCACGGUAAUACGAAGGGUGCAAGCGUUAAUCGGAAUUACUGGGCGUAAAGCGUGCGCAGGCGGUUUGUUAAGACAGAUGUGAAAUCCCCGGGCUCAACCUGGGAACUGCAUUUGUGACUGGCAAGCUAGAGUAUGGCAGAGGGGGGUGGAAUUCCGCGUGUAGCAGUGAAAUGCGUAGAUAUGCGGAGGAACACCGAUGGCGAAGGCAGCCCCCUGGGCCAAUACUGACGCUCAUGCACGAAAGCGUGAGGAGCAAACAGGAUUAGAUACCCGCGUAGUCCCUGUCUCUUAUAC